GGAAGGGAGAUACGGAACUCAACACAGAGCUGAAGGUCCUUGUUCUGAGGCAGGGAAAUCUGGAACUCUUAUUUCUGGUUGUCAUUUCAAAGGUCAUAGGUAGUUUAAAUCAAAUUUCAAAAAGUGCAUUCUAGAUCACAGCCCCUCCAAUUUUAAGGCUAUUAGCUAUGUGUGGUCAAGGCGGCAGACCAAACUAGCCUAUUUCUCAUCUGCACAGGUAGAAGAAAAAUCACCAGGAAUACAAACAAAAAACACAGCAGAGAGAGGUGGUAUCCAGUCCCCUUCCAUACAGACCAGCUCCUCUCUUCUGAAGAAUGCAGAGUUGAGGAUAAGAGAAAGAAGAGGAAGCAAGGAGCGAAACACCCAGGAGCCAUCUGGGUCCUCUUGCCUGACUCAGCAACUCUGAAUUCUGGACUCUGCCUGUAAAGAAUCUUUCUGUGUUAUCCACGAGGAAUUAGACAGUACCCUCCCCAUUUGCAAGGUGUUACAGAAAAGACACUGAGGUGCUGGAUGAGACCCAAAGACAAGCUGGCAUUACUGUACCACUACUGUACAGCGGGAUCAGUCCCAGGCAGUGAAGGCUCAGAGGACCUUGCAAUACUCGCAGGCACCCUGGCUGCUUUUCUCCUGUGCAUGCCUCACCUUCCAGGUGAAAGGGCAGCUUGACCCAUACUAAGUGACGGCUCCUGACACCUUUAACCAGUUCUGAGCCACUGUGCAUCCCACAGAUGUGCUCUCACCGUCAUUUGACAUUUGAACCCAGGAAGUAUGCUCCAGAGUGCUUCCUAUUGUGCUAAAAUGCAAAUUAAAAGCCUCAGGGCCUCUGCACACUCCAACCCAUGCUUCCACCCACUCUGCAGACUGAGGGAAAGCAUCCUGAGAAUGUAAUUAGAUCCUCUGGCUCCUCUCCUUAAGUCUCUCUGGGCUCUGGAGGAAAGGUGGGACACAUCUGACCCAGCUGGCCCCGCCCCCUGCAUUCCUGCCCAUUCUUAUGUCACUUUAAAGUUGCUUCUGAGUCCUUGAAGUACUGUUUAUUCCACCUAGAGACUCACCUAACCCAUCCCUGUCACUGAGUUCAAACUUCUCACCAUUCCUGCCUUCAUUGGAACAGAACAGCCUCAGGGCCUCUGCUGUCCUAUCCUAGAGCAGCUGUCCCACCCCAGAUCGUCUUAUACUCCUAAAUGGAAUCUUUCUCUUACUGAUUGCUGUCCACCAUCCUUCAAAUUCUGGAGCUCUGUGAAGGGAUCAUCAUCGUCGUCGUCGUCGUCGUCGUCAUCAUCAUCAUCAUCAUCAUCAUCAUCAUCAUCAUCAUCUUGCCAAAGAAUUGCAUAACACAGAUUUCUUAACUGUGCUCUCGGGUUACCUUUUCAUCUCUAUGGCAAAUUCUAAGACCUCCAAAGACAUGUCAGGUAAUUCUGUCAUCUCUGUGAGACAUGAUUCAUGGAAAGUUCCUUCUAGCCCUGGUCUGCCUCUUCCUAGAACCUGCAUUAAGAAUACUUCCUUUCAUGCCUCCAUAGUUCACAUUUAAGCCCCUCUAAUGAGAUGAAAUCAUCCGAGAGUUGAUUGGUUUACUGUGUCUUGGAGUUCACUCGGUUUAGGGACUGAAGAUGCUCUCACCUUAGAGGUGGGAGCCUGAGUCUUCCUUCCCCAGCCUGCCUAUAGGUCUCUAUCCGUACAUUGCUGUGACUGUACACUGGAGUUUCUAGGCUCAUGUGUUCCUGUGUGUGGACUGUGUGCAUCAUCAUGUGCCUGGGUCCCUGCUGUAGGCUGCCAGCCUGGUAGUCUUCACCCACACUGAAUAAAUAUGUUUUAUUUGUCCAUGGCUCCUUACAUUUUUCAACCCCCAGUCUCCUCUCACCCCCUCCUGUCCUGGAAUCAGAAUGUUGACUGCACAGUGGCAGGAAGGUAGCCUAGGCUGGAAAGUGUUCCUACUUUGGUGGCUAGAGAGAAAGUACCUGAAAAAAAAUGUUAUGUGAGAAAUAAUACAAGAGAGUUUAAUGAACUUCAAGUGAGGGAUGAGCUAUGAAGACUUUGUUCAUCAGUCUGUGAAGCAUGCAUCCCCAACAGGGGUAAUCAUCAGAGACUUUCAGUAUGGUGAACAAAUAGAUCACUCACAGCUGGAUAUGGUGGUAUACACAUUUGCAAUGCUAGAAUGAAGAGAAAAAGCCAAGCAUAUUGUGGGGUAGUGAACCAUAUCGCCAGACAGAAAACUUAGUAAGAUAUUUUGGGUUUAGAAACUGUGGUAAUUCUCAUAACUGAGAAUGGUAAGCAUUUAAAUCUACUCCUGACCAUGCUCUUGCCAUGGAACCCAUGACCAUGACACCCCUUAGAGAGGACUGUACCAAUUAGUCACGUAGGAGCACCACCAGAAUCCCCUUCUCAUGCAGAUGAGGCAUCCCUAACAUUUCAGAGCAAGCCAAUAAAAAGCAUCUCUGUGUGUGUGUGUGUGUGUGUGUGUUUCCCUAUCCAGAACGAAUAAAGUGCAAGAGUUAUUUCACCAAAGAUUGAGACUGUCUGUCUUAUAGAGAAUUUUCUCCUGAAGCUUUCACUUCCUGCAUUGCGUGUCCCUGACCUUGGUUCCUAGAUGCCCACUGCAGUGGCCUUGGAAGAGGCCUGGCAACCUGACUUACUAUGGCUCCUCCUCCUUCCUGGAGAGUUGCAAUUUUUUGGCCCCUCUGACCAGAGCCAGAGCCCAGCAGAUCCCCUUGGAUAAGGACCUGUACACAGAGCCAACCAGUCUAGUCUACAUAUCAAAUACCAGACAGCCUGGACUACAAAGGGAGACGCUAUCACAAACAUGCAAAGGAAUAACAACAAUUAUAUCAACCAACUGUUAGGGUCAGGACCUUUGUGCUGGCAGCCCUAACAAGCCCGGCUUGGCCACCUGUUCUUAAAAAGGCAAAUUUCGGGAUUGGGAAUUUAGCUCAGUGGUAGAGCGCUUGCCUAGCAAGCACAAGGCCCUGGGUU
rnacentral:sRNA from 1 species